ACAGCCAUGACACCCUGGACGCACCCGGAUCCCGUCUGAUCUCGGAAGCCAGGCAGGGUCGGACCUGGUUAGUACUUGGGUGGGAGAAAUAGAGCAAACGCAUCUCCUACCUGGGAAAAGGGGCCAUGUU
rnacentral:rRNA from 1 species